rnacentral:rRNA from 1 species
AAGCGUAAUAGCUCACUGGUCUAAACAAGCCGUCCUGCGCCGAAGAUGUACCGGGGCUCAAGCCGCGCACCGAAGCUGCGGACGUCCGUGAGGGCGUGGUAGCGGAGCGUUGCCCAGGCCGGUGAAGGGAGACCCGCGAGGGCUCCUGGAGGCACGGCAAGUGCGAAUGCUGACAUGAGUAGCGACAAAGAGUGUGAGAAACACUCUCGCCGAAAGUCCAAGGGUUCCU